UCGAGAAUCUUCGGCAAUGGGCGCCAGCCUGACCGAGCGACGCCGCGUGGGGGACGACGGCCUUCGGGUUGUAAACCCCUGUCGGAGGGGAGGAACGUGCCGUGAAGAGCGGCGCUUGACCGAUCCUCGGAGGAAGCACGGGCUAAGUUCGUGCCAGCAGCCGCGGUAAGACGAACCGUGCGAACGUUAUUCGGAAUCACUGGGCUUAAAGCGCGUGUAGGCGGGCCGGCACGUCCGGUGCUGAAAGCCCCCGGCUCAACCGGGGAAGGGGCACGGAUACGACCGGCCUGGAGGGGGGUAGGGGGACCUGGAACUUCCGGUGGAGCGGUGAAAUGCGUUGAGAUCGGAAGGAACGCCCGUGGCGAAAGCGAGGUCCUGGGCCCUUACUGACGCUGAGACGCGAAAGCCAGGGGAGCGAACGGGAUUAGAUACCCCCGUAGUCC
rnacentral:rRNA from 1 species